rnacentral:rRNA from 1 species
CCUACGGGAGGCAGCAGUGGGGGAUAUUGCACAAUGGGGGGAACCCUGAUGCAGCGACGCCGCGUGGGUGAAGAAGCGCCUCGGCGCGUAAAGCCCUGUCAGCAGGGAAGAAAAUGACGGUACCUGAAGAAGAAGCCCCGGCUAACUACGUGCCAGCAGCCGCGGUAAUACGUAGGGGGCAAGCGUUAUCCGGAUUUACUGGGUGUAAAGGGGGCGCAGACGGCGAAGCAAGCCAGGAGUGAAAGCCUGGGGCCCAACCCCGGGACUGCUGUUGGAACUGGGUGGCUGGAGUGCAGGAGGGGGAGGCGGAAUUCCUGGUGUAGCGGUGAAAUGCGUAGAUAUCCGGAGGAACACCGGUGGCGAAGGCGGCCUGCUGGACUGCAACUGACGUUGAGGCCCGAAAGCGUGGGGAGCAAACAGGAUUAGAUACCCCUGUAGUC